UACGGAGGGUGCGAGCGUUGUCCGGAAUUAUUGGGCGUAAAGGGCGCGUAGGCGGCUUUGCAAGUGACGGGUGAAAGCCCUCGGCUUAACCGAGGAACUGCCUGUCAGACUGUGAGGCUUGAGACCGGGAGAGGUGAGUGGAAUUCCCAGUGUAGCGGUGAAAUGCGUAGAUAUUGGGAGGAACACCGGUGGCGAAGGCGGCCCCCUGGACCGGUACUGACGCUGAGGCGCGAAAGCGUGGGUAGCAAACGGG
rnacentral:rRNA from 1 species